rnacentral:rRNA from 1 species
AGUGAACGCUGGCGGUAGGCCUAACACAUGCCAGUCGAACGGCAGCACAGUAAGAGCUUGCUCUUACGGGUGGCGAGUGGCGGACGGGUGAGGAAUACAUCGGAAUCUACUUUUUCGUGGGGGAUAACGUAGGGAAACUUACGCUAAUACCGCAUACGACCUACGGGUGAAAGCAGGGGAUCUUCGGACCUUGCGCGAUUGAAUGAGCCGAUGUCGGAUUAGCUAGUUGGCGGGGUAAAGGCCCACCAAGGCGACGAUCCGUAGCUGGUCUGAGAGGAUGAUCAGCCACACUGGAACUGAGACACGGUCCAGACUCCUACGGGAGGCAGCAGUGGGGAAUAUUGGACAAUGGGCGCAAGCCUGAUCCAGCCAUACCGCGUGGGUGAAGAAGGCCUUCGGGUUGUAAAGCCCUUUUGUUGGGAAAGAAAAGCAGCAGGUUAAUACCCCGCUGUUAUGACGGUACCCAAAGAAUAAGCACCGGCUAACUUCGUG